UUAUGGCUGUUACUCAUCUCAUACUAAUGGCACCAGUGGCGCACCCAGGGGGUGGUUUGGGUGUUAAAACCCCUCCCACCGGCCACCAGUACAUACAAAGAAUAGUAGGAAAAUACAAAUCGGAGAUCCAAAAGUUUUUUUGAUCCAAAAUUGAGUGAUUUGAAAUGGAAUCACCCGUAAUUAUAUGGUAUAAGUUCUUGGCUUGUGGCAGGUGUCGUCCAUUGACGAUUGACGACUCUCUGGAAUUGACCUAGCAGCUUGGUCUUCUGGCCAGUCUUUUUAGGCUUAGGAGUCUGUCAAUCACUGGAGGGUUUUGAAUUUUAAACUUUAUCGCAGAGUAAAUGUUGAAAAAUACUUUUUAUUGUACCUAUUAUAUUAUAUAAACAAUGAAAUAUUAUUCUGGUCCAGAUAAUAAAAAUAUUAUUUAUAACAAUUA